rnacentral:rRNA from 1 species
UACGUAGGGUGCGAGCGUUGUCCGGAAUGAUUGGGCGUAAAGCGUCCGCAGGUGGCAAUGUAAGUCUGCUGUCAAAGCGUCUGGCUCAACCAGAUAAAGGCAGUGGAAACUACAUAGCUAGAGUAAGGUAGGGGUAGAGGGAAUUCCUGGUGUAGCGGUGAAAUGCGUAGAGAUCAGGAAGAACACCGGUGGCGAAAGCGCUCUGCUGGACCUUAACUGACACUGAGGGACGAAAGCUAGGGGAGCGAAUGGG